UCGGGGUAACGAACCUGGAAACAGAUGCUAAUACCGGAUAACAACAGAUGAUGCCUAUCAACUGUUUAAAAGAUGGUUCUGCUAUCACUCUUGGAUGGACCUGCGGUGCAUUAGCUAGUUGGUAGGGUAACGGCCUACCAAGGCGAUGAUGCAUAGCCGAGUUGAGAGACUGAUCGGCCACAUUGGGACUGAGACACGGCCCAAACUCCUACGGGAGGCAGCAGUU
rnacentral:rRNA from 1 species